UACGUAGGUGGCAAGCGUUGUCCGGAUUACUGGGCGUAAAGAGCGCGCAGGCGGUCGUAUAAGUCGAAUGUGAAAGCCCCCGGCUCAACUGGGGAGGGUCAUUCGAUACUGUUCGACUCGAAGGCAGGAGAGGGAAGUGGAAUUCCGGGUGUGAGUGGUGAAGUGCGUAGAUAUCCGGAGGAACACCAGUGGCGAAGGCGACUUCUGGCCUGUUCUUGACGCUGAGGCGCGAAGCU
rnacentral:rRNA from 1 species